AUUGAACGCUGGCGGCAGGCCUAACACAUGCAAGUCGAGCGGAUGAAGGGAGCUUGCUCCUGGAUUCAGCGGCGGACGGGUGAGUAAUGCCUAGGAAUCUGCCUGGUAGUUGGGAAUAACGUCCGUAAACGGGCGCUAAUACCGCAUACGUCCUGAGGUUGAACGUGGGGGAUCUUCGGUCCUCACGCUUUCAGAUGACCCUAGUUGGGAUAGCUAGUUGGUGGGGUAAAGGCCUACCAAGGCGACGAUCCGUAACUGGUCUGAGAGGAUGAUCAGUCACACUGGAACUGAGACACGGUCCAGACUCCUACGGGAGGCAGCAGUGGGGAAUAUUGGACAAUGGGCGAAAGCCUGAUCCAGCCAUGCCGCGUGUGUGAAGAAGGUCUUCGGAUUGUAAAGCACUUUAAGUUGGGAGGAAGGGCAGUAAGUUAAUACCUUGCUGUUUUGACGUUACCAACAGAAUAAGCACCGGCUAACUUCGUG
rnacentral:rRNA from 1 species